UCGAUCGGAAAAGAAUCAUAGUUGGCAGACUGUUCGCUAUCAAUCUCUUCAUGGUGCUGCUUGCUUGUAAAGCCCUUUUAGCUAGAAACUCUGCAGCAACAGUCUAAGCCACGUUGGCAUCUUUCUCUCUCCAGAAUUGUGAUAUGUUUCUUCUGUACUAAACUUCAGUUUCAGGAUUCUGGUGGUUCUUGGUCGUUCUCUGUCAAAGCCAGUAAUGCCACUUGUUGUUUGCUGUUGCUGAGACGAAACAUUCAGGUUUCAUCAUGACACUUCUGGGGAAAGCAAACUUAUUUGCUCUUGUUUCAAUGUUCUGUUGUGCCUUGAAGUUUUGCGUUGGAGGGGAUGUCAUCGCAGCAACUGAGCACAUCCAAGACCCCGGAAGUAUAACGUCAAGUGGAGGUCUCUACAAAUUAGGGUUCUUUAGCCCGAAUGGUUCUGCAAAUCGGUAUGUUGGAAUUUGGCCCAACAAGAUCCCCGCAUAUAGUGUCCUCUGGGUUGCCAACCGUGAUAAACCAAUUUUAGAUUCUACUGGGGUCCUGACGAUAUCCGAUGAUGGUAAUCUGGUGCUAAUGAGUGGGAAGAAGGAAGUUAUUUGGUCAUCAAACGUUUCAACCUCCAUAACAAACUCAAGUGCCCAAAUAUUAGAUUCGGGAAACCUCGUCUUGACAAAAAGAAGUUCGAGUUCUGUUGCAAAUGAUUCAGGCAUACUCUGGCAAAGUUUUGACCAUGGGUCCGACUCAUUUCUCUCAACAAUGAAGCUCAGCACUAACGUAAGAACAAAUGAGAAGAACGUACUCACAUCCUGGGAAAGCCCUUCUGAUCCAGCGAUGGGAAGCUUCUCAAUGAGUCUCGAACCGCUGAACAUUCCUGAACUUUUCAUUUGGAAUGGCAGUACGUUGUAUUGGCGGAGUGGUCCAUGGAAUGGUGGUAUCUUCAUUGGAAUAUAUCACAUGUAUUUGUCCUAUCUUGAUGGGUGGACCAUAGUAGAUGACAAGGAAGGAACUAUCUAUCUAACUUACGGUUUUGCUGAGGCAUCUUAUAUUUCGUACUUUUUAUUAAAGUCAAAUGGUAUUUUUGUGCAGCCAUACUGGCACGAAAACAAGAAUGAUUGGCAGAUUGUUUGGUCGUCUCAGGAUAGUCAUUGUGAUGUUUAUGGCACAUGUGGGCCAUUCGGAAUCUGUGACGCCAACACAGUACCUAUUUGCAGCUGCUUGAGAGGCUUCGAGCCUAAGAACAUCGAAGAAUGGGGGAGAGGGAAUUGGUCUGCGGGAUGUGUCCGGAGGUCAUCGCUUCAAUGCGAAAGGAUUAUUAAUGGAAGAACAAAAGCAGGAAAAGAGGACGGAUUUUUGAAGAUAGAGAAUGCAAAAGUGCCUUAUUAUGCAGUUUGGUUUUCCCCUUUGGGAGACCAAUGUCAGAAGCUGUGCUUAAAUAACUGUUCGUGUGUAGCAUAUGCAUAUUACGCUGGCAUCGGUUGCAUGUACUGGAGCGGAGACUUAAUCGACAUACAGAAGUUCCCCAUUGCGGGAGCUGAUCUUUACAUCCGACUGGCCCACACAGAACUUGGAAAAGAAAAAAAUUGAAAGGAUAUGAUAUCACAUGCUUGUUGGCUGUGAUCUUCCAAGUCCAACCGCUAGCUGUUUCUUCUUUUGAUACCCUCAACAUUAGAUGCUGAAUGAGGGUUGACAAAAAGCAUUUUGUUCAGCAGCUGCUUAUGUCAUCAAUCGGAUAUGCAGGUGAAAAGAGAGACAUGAGAGCAAUCAUAGCAACUGCUGUGAUUUUGGGAACAAUUGUUUUCAUUGUUCUGUGCUUUUACUGGAGUAAGUUGAAGACACAACGAGCAGCAAGAAGACGCACGGAAGGAGAAGCCUCAUUAGCAGUUUCUGGCGAAAACAUGCUUGGAGAGAAACUGGGCAAAGCUAAUGUCCAGGAGCUAGUACUAUAUAAAUUGGAAGAAUUGGCCACAGCAACAAGUAACUUCAGCGACACCAGUAAGCUAGCGCAGGGUGGUUUUGGGCCAGUAUACAAGGGGAGACUGUCAAAUGGCAAAGAAAUAGCAGUCAAAAGACUAUCCAAAACUUCAGCACAAGGGUUCCAGGAAUUCAUGAAUGAAAUGGAGGUCAUUUGUAAGGCAUGGAAGUUGUGGAAAGAAGACAAUGCUCUAGCACUAGCAGACCCAAAAAUAUCUGUUACAUGCUUUGAAACAGAGGUUUUAAGAUGCAUAAAUGUGGGUCUUCUUUGCACACAACUUGCAAAUGAUAGGCCC